GAUGAACGCUGGCGGCGUGCUUAACACAUGCAAGUCGAACGAUGAACCGGGUGCUUGCACUCGGGGAUUAGUGGCGAACGGGUGAGUAACACGUGAGCAACCUGCCCCUGACUCUGGGAUAAGCGCUGGAAACGGCGUCUAAUACUGGAUAUGUCCCGUCACCGCAUGGUGUGCGGGUGGAAAGAUUUUUCGGUUGGGGAUGGGCUCGCGGCCUAUCAGCUUGUUGGUGAGGUAAUGGCUCACCAAGGCGUCGACGGGUAGCCGGCCUGAGAGGGUGACCGGCCACACUGGGACUGAGACACGGCCCAGACUCCUACGGGAGGCAGCAGUGGGGAAUAUUGCACAAUGGGCGGAAGCCUGAUGCAGCAACGCCGCGUGAGGGAUGACGGCCUUCGGGCCGUAAACCUCUUUUAGCAGGGAAGAAGCGAGAGUGACGGUACCUGCAGAAAAGCACCGGCUAACUACGUGCCAGCCGCCGCCGUAA
rnacentral:rRNA from 1 species